CAGCCGCCACGGGAAUACGGAGGGUGCAAGCGUUAAUCGGAAUUACUGGGCGUAAAGCGCACGCAGGCGGUCUGACAAGUCAGAUGUGAAAUCCCCGGGCUUAACCUGGGAACUGCAUUUGAAACUGUCAGGCUGGAGUCUUGUAGAGGGGGGUAGAAUUCCAGGUGUAGCGGUGAAAUGCGUAGAGAUCUGGAGGAAUACCGGUGGCGAAGGCGGCCCCCUGGACAAAGACUGACGCUCAGGUGCGAAAGCGUGGGGAGCAAACAGGAUUAGAUACCCCAGUAGUCCCUGUCUCUUAUAC
rnacentral:rRNA from 1 species